UACGAAGGGGGGCUAGCGUUGCUCGGAAUCACUGGGCGUAAAGCGCACGUAGGCGGCUUUCUAAGUCAGGGGGUGAAAUCCUGGAGCUCAACUCCAGAACUGCCUUUGAUACUGAAGAUCUUGAGUUCGGGAGAGGUGAGUGGAACUGCGAGUGUAGAGGUGAAAUUCGUAGAUAUUCGCAAGAACACCAGUGGCGAAGGCGGCUCACUGGCCCGA
rnacentral:rRNA from 1 species